UGUGAGGCUGAUGUGUAGGCAAAUCCGCACAUCGUUAAGGCUGGGCUGUGAUGGGGAGCGAAAAUUGCAGUAGCGAAGGUCAUGAGUUCAGGCUGCCAAGAAAAGCCUCUAGCCAGGUGAAGGUGCCCGUACCGCAAACCGACACAGGUAGGCGAGCAGAGUAUGCUAAGGCGCUCGGAAGAACUCUCGUUAAGGAACUCGGCAAAAUGACCCCGUAACUUCGGGAGAAGGGGUGCCUCGGUAGGGUGAAUAGCCCGAGGGGGCCGCAGUGAAAAGGCCCAAGCGACUGUUUAGCAAAAACACAGGUCUGUGCGAAGCCGUAAGGCGAAGUAUACGGGCUGACGCCUGCCCGGUGCUGGAAGGUUAAGGGGAGUGGUUAGCCGCAAGGCGAAGCUAUGAACCGAAGCCCCAGUAAACGGCGGCCGUAACAAUAACGGUCCUAAGGUAGCGAAAUUCCUUGUCAGGUAAAUUCUGACCCGCACGAAUGGCGUAACGACUUGGGCGCUGUCUCAACGAGAGAUCCGGUGAAAUUUUAAUACCUGUGAAGAUGCAGGUUACCCGCGACAAGACGGAAAGACCCCAUGGAGCUUUACUGCAGCUUGAUAUUGGACUUUGGUACGAUCUGUACAGGAUAGGUGGGAGCCUUGGAAACCGGAGCGCCAGCUUCGGUGGAGGCAUCGUUGGGAUACCACCCUGAUCGUAUCGGAGUUCUAACCUGGUACCGUGAUCCGGUACAGGGACCGUGUCAGGUGGGCAGUUUGACUGGGGCGGUCGCCUCCUAAAAUGUAACGGAGGCGCCCAAAGGUUCCCUCAGAAUGGUUGGAAAUCAUUCGUAGCGUGCAAAGGCAUAAGGGAGCUUGACUGCGAGACCUACAAGUCGAGCAGGGACGAAAGUCGGGCUUAGUGAUCCGGUGGUACCGCAUGGAAGGGCCAUCGCUCAACGGAUAAAAGCUACCCUGGGGAUAACAGGCUUAUCUCCCCCAAGAGUCCACAUCGACGGGGAGGUUUGGCACCUCGAUGUCGGCUCAUCGCAUCCUGGGGCUGAAGUAGGUCCCAAGGGUUGGGCUGUUCGCCCAUUAAAGCGGUACGCGAGCUGGGUUCAGAACGUCGUGAGACAGUUCGGUCCCUAUCUGUCGUGGGCGUAGGAAAUUUGAGAGGAGCUGUCCUUAGUACGAGAGGACCGGGAUGGACGCACCGCUGGUGUACCAGUUGUUCCGCCAGGAGCAUAGCUGGGUAGCUACGUGCGGACGGGAUAAGCGCUGAAAGCAUCUAAGCGUGAAGCCCCCCUCAAGAUGAGAUUUCCCAGUAUGUAAGACCCCUGGAAGACGACCAGGUUGAUAGGUUCGAGGUGGAAGCGCAGCAAUGCGUGGAGCUGACGAAUACUAAUCGGUCGAGGGCUUAUCCA
rnacentral:rRNA from 1 species